ensembl:lncRNA
UCUAAGCUAGAAGCAUCAGAACACUUAGAAAGGUAGUUCUAGCCUUAAAUAUGACUGGGAGAAGUGUCAAGAAAAAGAAAGCAAUAUAUUCCAUACUACACUAGAACACAGCAAACAUUAACAACAACAGUCUAAACAUAGCUGAGGGCAAUUGAGCAAACUAUACACUAGAUGACAGCAAAUGGACCUAUCACGACCCUACAGGAAGGAAGGCCCUACGGAGGAUGGUGCAGACGGCACAAUACAUCACUGGGGGCGAGCGACCUGCCCUCCAGGACAUCUACACCAGCCGGUGUCUGAGGAAGGCCCAAAAGAUAGUCACCCGAGCCGCGGACUGUUCACUCGGUUACCAUCUGGCAAGAGGUAUCGGAGUAUCGGGUCACAGACAAAAAGGCUCAGAGACAGCUCCUACCACCAGGCCAUCAGACUGCUGAUGUGGUGCUGAAGCGCUGACCACGGCGCUGUUCACAGUCAUGGUGCUGAAGAGUUGACUGCAGCGCUGUUAACGGUGGUGGUGUUGAAAAGCU